rnacentral:rRNA from 1 species
GAUCCUGGCUCAGGACGAACGCUGGCGGCGUGCUUAACACAUGCAAGUCGAACGAGAGGACAAGAGAAGCUUGCUUCUUUUGGAAUCGAGUGGCAAACGGGUGAGUAACACGUAAACAACCUGCCUUCAGGAUGGGGACAACAGACGGAAACGACUGCUAAUACCGAAUACGCUUGGGAGACCGCAUGAUCUACCAAGGAAAGGGUGGCCUCUACCUGUAAGCUAUCGCCUGAAGAGGGGUUUGCGU